rnacentral:rRNA from 1 species
GUGCCCCGCCUGGGGAGUACGAUCGCAAGAUUAAAACUCAAAGGAAUUGACGGGGCCCCGCACAAGCAGCGGAGCAUGCGGCUUAAUUCGACGCAACGCGAAGAACCUUACCAAGGCUUGACAUAUACAGGAAUAUGGCAGAGAUGUCAUAGCCGCAAGGUCUGUAUACAGGUGGUGCAUGGUUGUCGUCAGCUCGUGUCGUGAGAUGUUGGGUUAAGUCCCGCAACGAGCGCAACCCUCGUUCUGUGUUGCCAGCAUUUAGUUGGGGACUCACAGGAGACUGCCGGGGUUAACUCGGAGGAAGGUGGGGAUGACGUCAAAUCAUCAUGCCCCUUAUGUCUUGGGCUGCACGCAUGCUACAAUGGCUGGUACAAACGGCUGCGAUACCGCAAGGUGGAGCGAAUCCGAAAAAGCCAGUCUCAGUUCGGAUUGGGGUCUGCAACUCGACCCCAUGAAGUCGGAGUUGCUAGUAAUCGUAGAUCAGCAACGCUACGGUGAAUACGUUCCCGGGGCUUGUACACACCGCCCGUCACGUCACGAAAGUCGGUAACACCCGAAGUCAGUGGCCCAACCGCAAGGGGGAGCUGCCGAAGGUG